GACGAACGCUGGCGGCGUGCUUAACACAUGCAAGUCGAACGGAAAGGCCCUGCUUUUGUGGGGCGCUCGAGUGGCGAACGGGUGAGUAACACGUGAGUAACCUGCCCUUGACUUUGGGAUAACUUCAGGAAACUGGGGCUAAUACCGGAUAGGAGCUCCUGCUGCAUGGUGGGCGUUGGAAAGUUUCGGCGGUUGGGGCUGGUCUCGCGGCUUAUCAGCCUGUUGGUCGGGUAGUUGCUUACCAAGGUUUUGACGGGUAGCCGGCCUGAGAGGGUGACCAGCCACCUUGGGCCUGAGAUACGGCGCAGACUCCUACGGUACGCAGCAGUGGGGAAUAUUGCACAAUGGGCGGAAGCCUGAUGCAGCGACGCCGCGUGCGGGAUGCCGGCCUUCGGGUUGUAAACCGCUUUCGCCUGUGCCGAAGCGUGAGUGACGGUACUGGGUAAAGAAGCACCGGCUAACUACGUG
rnacentral:rRNA from 1 species